rnacentral:rRNA from 1 species
UGCAGAAUCCCGUGAACCAUCGAGUCUUUGAACGCAAGUUGCGCCCGAUGCCACUAGGUUGAGGGCACGUCUGCCUGGGCGUCACAUAUCGAAGCCUCUUGCCAAUUUCCUAUUAAUAGGUAUUUUGCAGGAUGAUGUUGGCCUCCCGUGAGCUCCAUUGUCUCAUGGUUGGUUGAAAAUUGAGACCUUGGUAGGGUGUGUGCCAUGAUAGAUGGUGGAUGUGUUACGCAUGAGACCAAAUAAUCAUGUGCUGCUCUAUCGAAUUUAGCCUCUUUAACCCACAUGCGUUUCUAAACGCUCGUGAUGAGACCUCAGGUCAGGCGGGGCUACCCGCUGAAUUUAAGCAUAUCAAUAAGCGGAGGAAAAGAAACUAACAAGGAUUCCCUUAGUAACGGCGAGCGAACCGGGAAAAGCCCACCAUGAGAAUCGAUCGCCCUCGGCGUUCGA